GCGGAAUCGUUUGUUAGUUCCGAAUAUACUAAGUAAAACGUUUGUUAGAUCACGGUUUCGCUAAAAAAAGCGAAAAACUGUAUAUCGUUUAGCUGCCGGAGAGUGGGGGUGAGACGUAGAAUAUGUGGUGGUUUCGGAACGCAUUACGUUAUAGUUUAUCAACACGGGAAACGUGCUUAACCUAUUUUCAAUUUAUUUGUCAGAUUAGCAUAGCAUUGUACUACGACGCAGUUUACGAAUAUUCCGAACAGAAACCUCAACGGAGUAAAGUGAAUAAUACCGUAUACCAUAGAGAAGACAGUAAACGAAGUAAAUAUAUGCAGAGAAGUCGCGGACGGCUUGCGUAUAUAUUUCGAUUUCGCAUAUUACCUCAUCUCCUGUUAUAUAGUGCUUCCUGUUGAACCGGUAAAAUAUAACAAUCACCCCACCACCACCACCAUCAUCAUUAACCGUCGUUUAUAAAAAAGAGGCCGCAAGAGGACGAGCGACAAAUGAUAUUGACUGGUUUAGUCGUAAUGGCGAAGCUCACCGAAGAGCCGCUGGAAACGGAAGACAUUCUAACGAUUUGUUGGGAGCAGAGUCAACACAAGUACACAGAGAGAAGAUUACUAGCUGUUGAAUGUUGCUCCUACAUACCAAUAUCAGCUGCUGUUAGAAACUCGUUGAUGCUGUCAAUGCGCUUCCGGAGUAGUACUACCGGAACUGAGGCAUCUCAAAACGUUGGUAAAUCAAUGCCUACCUCAGCAAGAAGAUGCAGUGCGUUUCUUGCUCAGAGAAGCGGAGUGCAGGCAGUAUUUACUGAAUGAAGCCAAUAGAUAGGACACUCGACGAGCUCCGGGUUUUCCCUAUCGAUGACGACGGUGAAUGUCUGCCAAGGAUAUGCGCCAGAAGAUGAACAAGAUCUCUUCAACAGAAAAUUGAAUCGCCCAGCAUGUCGAGUAUUUUCCGCAAGAAGUAAACUCCCCUUUGUGUCUUAUAGCAAGAAAUUCUGUGUGAGAAAAUCGAGUAUCACGUCGGCAAGAGAUUCGCGAGUGCAAGCACAAAAAAUUGUUGUUAGGCAUAAAUGUAUAAUGUUGUUUCAACGAAUGUUAACUUAUUUUUUUAUCGCGCUAGCUCUAUGAGUGACGUGUAAAUUAUUUUGUUUAAAUAUUAACACGGUCUGAGGAGUUUAGAGAUGAGAAAAGACGAAUGUUUUUUCACGUUUUGUAAAAUUCGGAUGUCCAUUGUGUCUGCACUCUCGCAGCGUUUGGAAUUUUCUCACUUUCUCAUGAUCCUCUUUAGGUAAAAGAAAAGAAAAAGAGUAAAUUCAAAACGCCACGAUUAACAGUAAUUAAUGUUUAAUUUCGAAGUCUGUCACUUUACAUAGUAAUAAACAAACGUCAUAGAUCAUA